rnacentral:rRNA from 1 species
GGUUAAGCGAAUAAGCGUACACGGUGGAUGCCUAGGCAAUCAGAGGCGAUGAAGGACGUGCUAAUCUGCGAUAAGCGUCGGUAAGGUGAUAUGAACCGUUAUACCCGACGAUUUCCGAAUGGGGAAACCCAAUAUCCAAUGGAUAUUAUCAUGACGUGAAUACAUAGCGUCAUGAAGCGAACCGGGAGAACUGAAACAUCUCAGUACCCCGAGGAAAAGAAAUCAACCGAGAUUCCCCUAGUAGCGGCGAGCGAACGGGGAACAGCCCAGAGUCUUAAUCAAUAGCAGCAUCAGGAGAACGGUCUGGAAAGUCCGGCAGUAAAGGGUGAUAGCCCCGUAUCCGAAGAUGCUGUUAUUGUGAACUCGACGAGUAGGGCGGGACACGUGUUAUCCUGUCUGAAUAUGGGGGGACCAUCCUCCAAGGCUAAAUACUCCUGAUUGACCGAUAGUGAACCAGUACCGUGAGGGAAAGGCGAAAAGAACCCCGGCGAGGGGAGUGAAAAAGAACCUGAAACCGUGUACGUACAAGCAGUAGGAGCCUCUUUAUGGGGUGACUGCGUACCUUUUGUAUAAUGGGUCAGCGACUUAUAUUCUGUAGCAAGGUUAACCGUAUAGGGGAGCCGUAGGGAAACCGAGUCUUAACUGGGCGAAUGAGUUGCAGGGUAUAGACCCGAAACCCGGUGAUCUAUCCAUGGGCAGGUUGAAGGUUGGGUAACACUAACUGGAGGACCGAACCGACUAAUGUUGAAAAAUUAGCGGAUGACUUGUGGAUGGGGGUGAAAGGCCAAUCAAACCGGGAGAUAGCUGGUUCUCCCCGAAAGCUAUUUAGGUAGCGCCUCGUGAACUCAUCUUCGGGGGUAGAGCACUGUUUCGACUAGGGGGUCAUCCCGACUUACCAACUCGAUGCAAACUGCGAAUACCGAAGAAUGUUAUCACGGGAGACACACGGCGGGUGCUAACGUCCGUCGUGAAGAGGGAAACAACCCAGACCGCCAGCUAAGGUCCCAAAGUCAUGGUUAAGUGGGAAACGAAGUGGGAAGGCUCAGACAGCCAGGAUGUUGGCUUAGAAGCAGCCAUCAUUUAAAGAAAGCGUAAUAGCUCACUGGUCGAGUCGGCCCGCGCGGAAGAUGUAACGGGGCUAAACCAUGCACCGAAGCUGCGGCAGCGA